rnacentral:misc_RNA from 1 species
GAUGAAGAACGUAGCGAAAUGCGAUACGUAAUGUGAAUUGCAGAAUUCAGUGAAUCAUCGAAUCUUUGAACGCAUAUUGCGCUCUCUGGUAUUCCGGAGAGCAUGCUUGUUUGAGUAUCAGUAAACACCUCAACUUCCAUAUCUUUUUUGAAAUGGGAGUUGGACUUGAGUGAUCCCAACGCUUUUCCUCACCGAAAAGUGGCGGGUUACUUGAAAUGCAGGUGCAGCUGGACUUUUCUCUGAGCUAUAAGCAUAUCUAUUUAUUCUGCCUAAAAAACAGAUUAUUACCUUUGCUGCAGCUAACAUAAAGGAGAUUAGUUCUUGUGCUGACUGAUGCAGGAUUCACAAAGACGGCUUCGGCCGACUUUGUAAACUCGAUCUCAAAUCAAGUAAGACUACCCGCUGAACUUAAGCAUAUCAAUAAGCGGAGGA